rnacentral:rRNA from 1 species
UACCGAGGGGGCAAGCGUUGUUCGGAAUUACUGGGCGUAAAGGGCGCGUAGGCGGCCUGCUAAGUCGAACGUGAAAUCCCCGGGCUCAACCCGGGAACUGCGUCCGGUACUGGCAGGCUUGAAUCCGGGAGAGGGAUGUGGAAUUCCAGGUGUAGCGGUGAAAUGCGUAGAUAUCUGGAGGAACACCGGUGGCGAAGGCGGCAUCCUGGACCGGCAUUGACGCUGAGGCGCGAAAGCCAGGGGAGCAAACGGG